rnacentral:rRNA from 1 species
GAUGAACGCUGGCGGCGUGCCUAAUACAUGCAAGUCGAGCGAACGGACGAGAAGCUUGCUUCUCUGAUGUUAGCGGCGGACGGGUGAGUAACACGUGGAUAACCUACCUAUAAGACUGGGAUAACUUCGGGAAACCGGAGCUAAUACCGGAUAAUAUUUUGAACCGCAUGGUUCAAAAGUAAAAGACGGUCUUGCUGUCACUUAUAGAUGGAUCCGCGCUGCAUUAGCUAGUUGGUAAGGUAACGGCUUACCAAGGCAACGAUGCAUAGCCGACCUGAGAGGGUGAUCGGCCACACUGGAACUGAGACACGGUCCAGACUCCUACGGGAGGCAGCAGUAGGGAAUCUUCCGCAAUGGGCGAAAGCCUGACGGAGCAACGCCGCGUGAGUGAUGAAGGUCUUCGGAUCGUAAAACUCUGUUAUUAGGGAAGAAAAUAUGUGUAAGUAACUGUGCACAUCUUGACGGUACCUAAUCAGAAAGCCACGGCUAACUACGUG